rnacentral:rRNA from 1 species
UACGAAGGGGGCUAGCGUUGUUCGGAAUCACUGGGCGUAAAGGGCGCGUAGGCGGCCGAUCAAGUCGGGGGUGAAAGCCUGUGGCUCAACCACAGAAUUGCCUUCGAUACUGUUUGGCUUGAGACCGGAAGAGGUUAGUGGAACUGCGAGUGUAGAGGUGAAAUUCGUAGAUAUUCGCAAGAACAACAGUGGCGAAGGCGGCUGACUGGUCCGGUUCUGACGCUGAGGCGCGAAAGCGUGGGGAGCAAACAGG